AUUGAACGCUGGCGGCGGGCCUAAAACAUGCAAGUCGAGCGAGCGACGGACGGGUGAGUAAUGUCUGGGAAACUGCCUGAUGGAGGGGGAUAACUACUGGAAACGGUAGCUAAUACCGCGUACCAUCAGAUGUGCCCAGAGGGGAUUAGCUGGAAGGUGGGGUAACGGCUCACCUAGGCGACGAUCCCUACCUGGCCUGCGAGGAUGACCAGCCACACGGGAGCAGAGACACGGUCCAGACUGCGACGGGAGGCAGCUGUGGGGGCUGUUGCACAAUGGGCGCAAGCUGUAUCCAGCAAUGCCGCGUGUGUGAAGAAGGCUUUCGGGUUGUAAAUCACUGUCAGCAGCGAGGCGGUAUCCGCAGAAGAAGCACCGGCUAACUACGUGCCAGGAGCAGCGGUAAUUU
rnacentral:rRNA from 1 species